rnacentral:rRNA from 1 species
UACGGAGGAUGCGAGCGUUAUCCGGAUUUAUUGGGUGUAAAGCGAGCGCAGGUGGUUUAUUAAGUCUGGUGUAAAAGGCAGUGGCUCAACCAUUGUAUGCAUUGGAAACUGGUAGACUUGAGUGCAGGAGAGGAGAGUGGAAUUCCAUGUGUAGCGGUGAAAUGCGUAGAUAUAUGGAAGAACACCAGUGGCGAAGGCGGCUGUCUGGUCUGCAACUGACGCUGAGGCUCGAAAGCAUGGGUAGCGAACAGG